AUUGAACGCUGGCGGCAGGCCUAACACAUGCAAGUCGAGCGGAUGAAGGGAGCUUGCUCCUGGAUUCAGCGGCGGACGGGUGAGUAAUGCCUAGGAAUCUGCCUGGUAGUGGGGGAUAACGUCCGGAAACGGGCGCUAAUACCGCAUAAGUCCUGAGGGAGAAAGUGGGGAAUCUUCGGAUCUCACGCUAUCAGAUGAGCCUAGGUCGGAUUAGCUAGUUGGUGGGGUAAAGGCCUACCAAGGCGACGAUCCGUAACUGGUCUGAGAGGAUGAUCAGUCACACUGGAACUGAGACACGGUCCAGACUCCUACGGGAGGCAGCAGUGGGGAAUAUUGGACAAUGGGCGAAAGCCUGAUCCAGCCAUGCCGCGUGUGUGAAGAAGGUCUUCGGAUUGUAAAGCACUUUAAGUUGGGAAGAAGGGCAGUAAGUUAAUACCUUGCUGUUUUGACGUUACCAACAGAAUAAGCACCGGCUAACUUCGUG
rnacentral:rRNA from 1 species